UAACAGUUGGUCAGAGAGGUCGUUCAAGGGGCACAGUUUGCUUCGAUUCCACCACAGACCCUCAUGUGGCCCGGCUUCUCAUUCCAAGCAAUGUCCCUCCCUGGAGAAACGGACUCUGCCUGAGCACUUCUGUCUUGAGCUGAUAAGGUUGCUGGAGGACACUCUGGGAUUUUAUCUUAGGUUCCCAGCGUCCAGCAGUGCAGCAUCCAUGUAGACUUCCGUUGUCCUGCCAGAGUUCCAGGAAACUAGGCAGAAUGGAAAGUUCCAGGGCCCCCAAUGUGCCCACCCCACAAGUACACUGUGGACCAACACUGUAUGCCUCUGUUCUGGCAUGAAGGGUGUAAUUAAUUCCCUGGUGACUCCUACUGAGAAUGAAUAGCACCGGAAGUGCAAAAUAAAGCCGUAUUCCUUGGUCUAAGGGAGAAGCAAGGACCAGCGUCAGCAAUUUUUCCUUCCACAAUGGUGAAACAGUGCUAUCUGGGACUGAGGGAAAAUGACAACAAACAAUUCGACCUUGCACUUACUUCAAGAUCCUCUACCCAGCACUGCGUUAAAAGCUCCAUUUCGGCACUCAGAUUAAAGCACUGCUGCUCAAAACAAAGCCUUGCCAACUUGGCUCCAGGGAAGGAGCAGCCACUGGAACAAUGCAGGCAAUUUAAUCGUGUUGCAGAGAGAAGUAAGCCAGAGUCUGGAGGCUCUACCGGAAUGGAAUACAAUUCCCUUGUCCCAAUAGGAAGAAUGAAAGUGGGGCUGAGGUGGGCAAAAGACAACAUCCAAAAUGGCAUAAAAAUUAACCACCCAACUCAAUGAAUUACCCACGAGAUAAUGGGAUAAAUGUUUGUGAGUUAGACCGAAGAGCAAAAACACAACAGGAAGAAAGAAUUCAGAACUGUAGGCUGAAGCCUUUUUUCUUUGUUCUGUGUAGCAAAAUUUCAGUCUCUCUCUUUGCACUUAAGUUCAUGUUUUAAAACUUGGUUGUUCUCUAUGGAAUUGAAGCCUGUGUAAAUCAUUGUGUCUAGAUGUAUUUCAAAUGCUCUUCUCUCUAUUAUCACUCAAACUCAUAGUUAUUCAGUUUGACCUGAAAUUAAAGAACAGAAUAGUUUCAUGCUUUAAAAUUACUUCCCACUAUUUUAUAGUGAUAAAAACAAAUUAUGAAAAAAAAUCUUAGAUAUAAGCCAAGUUAGAGUUCAUAAUUAAGAUUACCAGAAUAAAAAAAAAACAUACUCAUAUGUCUGCUCCCCUAUUUCUCAUCCUAAAUAUGUUUUUUUGGGGGGGCAAUUUAGUUAAUAAUGAAAUGUUUAUUGUCCAUGUUGUAGUAAAAAUUACUUGGAAGUUUCUACCCCAUCCUUGAUCAUAUUGUUCCCAAAUAAAUGACACAACCCUUUAUAUUUAUAAUAAGCUUUAGAGUACCAGAGCCGCCAGAUAUCAACUCUCUAUGGUAUUUUAUCUACUUCCCUAUCACCAAAUCUGAGCUAUCACCUGCUAUGUUCCCUUUGGUCCUCUCCAACUCCAACUGACCAGCCUCAUGGCUGUGCUCUCACGCUCCACCUACCUGAUGUCAUCUUCUCCUGUCUUCUCCUCUCUCCUCUUCUCAUGAUCUCUGCCUCAGGCCCCAAGCCUGCGAACCGAAGCUCUGCCUACCUCUCUUCUGCGCAGCUAUAGGCCAUAGGCUUCUUUAUUCAACCAAUAGUUUUAAAUUAAGGAGCAAGGUUGCAUAUGAAGAACUGCUUGUCAGGGGCAGCCACAUCUUGAGAAGCUAGUAUUUAGCUUUAGAAUGUAGGCAGCAUCAGACUAACCCCCAUUACAGUCCAUUCUACCUAUGAUGAUAUGAGGAACAAUGAUUAAGGCAGCCUGUAUUCGAUUUGUUAGGCCGUGGUAGCAUGGGUUGAUGGCUCAAUGGUUAAGAGCGCUUGCUAGUCUUCCAGAGGACCCGAGUUCGUGUUUCAGCACCCAUGUCAGACUGAUCAUAACUACCUGAGACUCCAGCUCCAGGGGAUCUGAUGUCCUCUUCUGGCAUCUGCACACACAUGAGGCAUACAACCCAUGUUGUGGGACACACCUAAAAGUAACUAAAAAGAAAAAAAAAAUCCUUUAAAAAGAAAAACUCAUGGCUGAUAUAAACUUUGAAUUUUAAUAUAAAACUUCGUCUCUACUAUUUCUUGGCGAUUCAAUUAAGUCUUGAAGGAAGAUGGAUGUCAUGUUAGCUAAUGACUUCUGACUCGGAGCAUCUUGUGACUAACAGCUGUCAAGGAGAGAAAGUCUACUAAAUGAGGCUAAGGAAUGAAUGUGACAAAAACAUUAAGGCAUCCCAGAGAAAGCAGGCUGCAAAGUGAUAAUAAUGAAUAUGAUAUUUUCCUUUUACAUAGAAACAAUAACCUCUCACCUCCUACACCCUUCACAGAUGAAGAACCUAAUUGGCCUUGGAGAGAGUAUGUACUCAGCGUAGUGUCAGAAUAGCAGGUGGUUGGAAAUGUGUUAAACAGCAUACUAAUUAGAUUGGUGUCCAUGCAUUUCCAAAUAUUUAAAUCUUAUUAAAUGAUUAAUU